rnacentral:rRNA from 1 species
GAUGAACGCUGGCGGCGUGCCUAAUACAUGCAAGUCGAGCGAACAGACGAGGAGCUUGCUCCUCUGACGUUAGCGGCGGACGGGUGAGUAACACGUGGACAACCUACCUAUAAGACUGGGAUAACUUCGGGAAACCGGAGCUAAUACCGGAUAAUAUAUUGAACCGCAUGGUUCAAUAGUGAAAGACGGUUUUGCUGUCACUUAUAGAUGGAUCCGCGCCGCAUUAGCUAGUUGGUAAGGUAACGGCUUACCAAGGCAACGAUGCGUAGCCGACCUGAGAGGGUGAUCGGCCACACUGGAACUGAGACACGGUCCAGACUCCUACGGGAGGCAGCAGUAGGGAAUCUUCCGCAAAGGGCGAAAGCCUGACGGAGCAACGCCGCGUGAGUGAUGAAGGUCUUCGGAUCGUAAAACUCUGUUAUUAGGGAAGAACAAAUGUGUAAGUAACUAUGCACGUCUUGACGGUACCUAAUCAGAAAGCCACGGCUAACUACGUG